GCCUGGCUGGCUUAGUGGGUAGAGCACGUGACUCUUAAUCUCGGGGUCAUGGAUUCAAGCCCCACAUUAGGCA
rnacentral:tRNA from 1 species